UUCGACCUUCAACGUGGCCGGUUUCCUCUCAGGUUCCUGGAAGGAGAGAUGGAGGGAGGUGAAACCUGAGAAAGGAAUACAGGGAGGGAGGCCGGCUCAACCUCGGGGACUCUUUCUUCCGGCCUUCUUCUGAGGCUUCUCAUCUUCCUCACACUGGAACAAGAAAUCUUCAAGAACGAAUUCCAUCCUGUGUAAUAUCGGUGACCCUGGCUGAGCUUUGGCAGAUCCUAGAGACCCCUACAGGACCACUGUCCUCAAGAGCCCCAAAGCCCAGAUGUCAUCUUUGAAAUAAAACUGCCUGGAGAUGGCAUUGUGAACUUCCAGCCCAUUCCUCACACCACUGGAGUU
rnacentral:lncRNA from 1 species